rnacentral:rRNA from 1 species
UACGUAGGGGGCAAGCGUUGUCCGGAAUUAUUGGGCGUAAAGCGCGCGCAGGCGGUUAAUUAAGUCUGGUGUUUAAGGCUGUGGCUCAACCACAGUUCGCACUGGAAACUGGUUAACUUGAGUGCAGAAGAGGAAAGUGGAAUUCCACGUGUAGCGGUGAAAUGCGUAGAUAUAUGGAGGAACACCAGUGGCGAAGGCGACUCUCUGGUCUGUAACUGACGCUGAGGCGCGAAAGCGUGGGGAGCAAACAGG